rnacentral:rRNA from 1 species
UACGGGGGGUGCGAGCGUUGUCCGGAAUCACUGGGCGUAAAGGGCGCGUAGGUGGUUUGAUAAGGGUGUGGUGAAAGCCCGGAGCUCAACUCCGGGUCUGCCGUGCAGACUGUCAAACUCGAGGGCUGUAGAGGCAGACGGAAUUCCGGGUGUAGCGGUGGAAUGCGUAGAGAUCCGGAGGAAGACCGGUGGCGAAGGCGGUCUGCUGGGCAGUUUCUGACACUGAGGCGCGACAGCGUGGGGAGCAAACAGG